rfam:Aedes aegypti strain Liverpool supercont1.344 genomic scaffold, whole genome shotgun sequence.
UACUCGGUAGCUUAGUUGGUAAAGCGCUCGUUCAGCAUACAUGAGUCCUGGGUUUGAAUCCCAGCCAAGCAC